UGGUGGAUGGUUGUUUCAAACUUUGCCCAGCUUUAAGGAACUUUAAUUUUCCCUGUUUCCCCUGGAGGAUGCAGCUGGUUUGCUCAG